rnacentral:lncRNA from 1 species
CAUGGGUGAAUAUCUUUAAAGCAAUGCAAUAUCACAUUUCAGUGAAAUCCUCAAAAGGAGACAAAAGCAAAUGUCUUUGGAAAGGUUCCUUGCUGAAGCUGCAUGAAAGGAAAACAGAUUCAUUUGACCCAAUAGACAGCAAUGAUUCUGUUAGUGACUGAAAAUCAUCCUAUGCAAUAACCCUCCUCUCUCUUGCCUCCCUCCUACCGGCCACCAAGGUUCUCACAGAGACCAGGAUGAUAAGUAUUUCACAGAAGUCACUGACAAUUGGGCCUUGGCUGAUAAAGAUACAAUGUUCACCAUUGGAUUCAUGAACCUGGCAAUGUAUAUGUCACUGACCUCCAGCAGAAGGAACAGCUGGAUGUUUAGCUCAGUAGAGCUGUGUCUGUCUCCCAAGCACAAGGUGGUAAUUUUUCCAGGUAAUCUCCUCCACUCUGAUUUGGGGCUCAGUUAUGUAACAUGUGUUAGAAAAUACAAUCCAACUAAUGCGUAGUCCACAGACUGAAAGAUGUUUGAUCUUGUUGCCUGACUUACUCUUGGACUUGACACCAAUGAAUCAUGCUAGACACUCAGCUGAGCUCUAGGAAGAGACCGGGCAACGCAGGGUGCAGUCAAGACCAAGGAAAAAAUGGACCACAACCAGAUUUUCA